CCUACGGGCGGCUGCAGUGAGGAAUAUUGGUCAAUGGGCGAGAGCCUGAACCAGCCAAGUCGCGUGAAGGAUGAAGGAUCUAUGGUUUGUACACUUCUUUUAUAUGGGAAUAAAGUGAGGAACGUGUUCCUUUUUGUAUGUACCAUAUGAAUAAGGAUCGGCUAACUCCGUGCCAGCAGCCGCGGUAAUACGGAGGAUCCGAGCGUUAUCCGGAUUUAUUGGGUUUAAAGGGAGCGUAGGUGGAUUGUUAAGUCAGUUGUGAAAGUUUGCGGCUCAACCGUAAAAUUGCAGUUGAAACUGGCAGUCUUGAGUACAGUAGAGGUGGGCGGAAUUCGUGGUGUAGCGGUGACAUGCACAGAUAUCACGCAGAACUCCGAUUGCGAAGGCAGCAUACCGGCGCCCGACUGACGCUGAGGCACGAAAGCGUGGGUAUCGAACAGGAUUAGAUACCCCAGUAGUC
rnacentral:rRNA from 1 species